rnacentral:misc_RNA from 1 species
AAAGUCGUAACAAGGUUUCCGUAGGUGAACCUGCGGAAGGAUCAUUUCCGAAAAACACUCUUACAAACCAAUCGUGUGGAAUGUUUUGGGUUCUUUACUCUAGGAGGCGGGGUUUAGUUGUUGCAAUAGGACCAAUAACAAUGCCAGUGGGCAGCCUGCUAUUGUCACCCUAUGCUGCAAUGCUUGACGCCCUGCCCUCCUGGAGACCAUGAUGAACUACCUUCGGGUUGAUAGUAUCGCUCUUUUCCUUUGUUGAUACAACAAAAAAAAUGAUACGACAACUUUUAACGGUGGAUCUCUUGGCUCGU